CGUGACACACAUGCACAGGAUACAGAAGUUGUAAACGAGCAGAUAUCAUCGUGCCUUGUGUAUAAAAUGUAAGAUAAGCAGGGAUUCAGCCCCCCUUGAGGUUGUUGAAAGGGCAACCAAGGAAGUGAGAGAAAGAAGUCCAUUCGAACAGCAGCAAGGGAUGAAACAUUUAAUGAAUGACUAUGAAGAGGACACCAUCCAACUGGAAGGACGUCUUCGAAUGGAUUUACCCCAAGGCGGCUAAACUUACCCUGUCCCUAUGCUGUGCAAAGAGACCACUUUUUUUGUACAAGCUAUGUUUUCAAAACUGUUAUACGUUUAUGAAUUCUGAUUAUUUCCAGAGAUGCACAACAUCCUAAAAUAUGUAGAUAUCUUUGUUAGAAAGACUAUAUUUCCCUUGACGUAGUGAUGCUGAAUGUAAUAAAUGGCUC